AAACAAUCAACCUUGGCUUUGGUUUUACUACCAUUGCUUCGGCUUGGAAUUGGGCGUCUUUGCCAUCCUUGCGGAUGGCUCGCCUUAAAUGGAUUAGCUGGACUUGUCCUGAGGACCGGUUUGACUUGGCGUAAUAAGUAUUUCGCUGAGGAACACCUUUGGGUGGCCGUCUUCUGACUAUCGUCUGCUUUCUAACCCGCGAUUGAUCUUUUGGGAUCAUGACCAACUUGACA
rnacentral:misc_RNA from 2 species